rnacentral:lncRNA from 1 species
GAGUUGCAUAGCCUGGUCUUUGUCAAGCUGUGCUUCUAAAACAGGUCGUUAGAUACAUGGAGCUUGCACAGGGAGGAGCUGGUCGUUGUAGCAGCAGUGCAAAAGGGACCUGCUUGCCAGCUGGCUGACGCAUUGCAUUAGGUGGUUGCCCUGUUGCCAUUGCUUGCUGAUUACCCAUUCUUUGGAACUGAGAUUCAUCUUCCGGGGUCUG